rnacentral:rRNA from 1 species
ACGAACGCUGGCGGCGUGCUUAACACAUGCAAGUCGAACGAUGAAGCCCUUCGGGGUGGAUUAGUGGCGAACGGGUGAGUAACACGUGGGCAAUCUGCCCUUCACUCUGGGACAAGCCCUGGAAACGGGGUCUAAUACCGGAUAACACUCUGUCCCGCAUGGGAUGGGGUUAAAAGCUCCGGCGGUGAAGGAUGAGCCCGCGGCCUAUCAGCUUGUUGGUGGGGUGAUGGCCUACCAAGGCGACGACGGGUAGCCG